AGAGAGGGGAAACAGGAGUGAGGAGUGGUGAGGUCAGCAGUGCCACUUGCCAGAAAAAUUUGAAGGGGAUUCGGCGUGUUCUUGGAGCCAAAAGCUUUAGAACAAAACCAUGGUCUUCAGUUUAGAUCACAAAAUGUUCUGACUGUAGAAAUUCUGUAUUGGUUCAUUCUUCCUGUCAUUUCACUCAGAACUUUUGUGUUUAUUGAUGUCCCAGUAGAAGUGUUGCUGGAGCAUUCCAACUCCUUUUUCCUUCUGCUGCAGCAUUUCUCUUGCAGAUCUGUCACCAGAGCAGUAAAAAGAACUUGGAAAUACUGAUCAACAAGGACUUUUCUUGCUAAUGCACAUUCAGAUUAAAGCCAUGUCUGUCUUUUCGGUGGAAGAAGUUUAUGUAGUAGGGAGCCCUCUAGGUCUUCAGCUAGAAGAAUGAACUUUGUGUGUAAAAAGCCGCUGAUUUCAUUUCCUGYCUCAAGAUCAUAAGGGAAUAGAAGUGUUCUGGCCUUCAUGUGUGAUUUUUGCCUGUCAGUGGCUCCAAAAUGAAUAGGUAGAAAAAUACUAUUUACCUAUGCAGACAUCGCAAAUAAUUCAGCUGUAUAUAACAUAUAUUUUUCUUUCUAGGAAUAGCUUAAUAGCUUAGAGUCCAGAGAUGUCACUUGAUAGAACUAAACACAGUAGACCUUGAAGUGAAAACCAACAUGAGGGCUAUUCAUGGAAGAACCUUUGCUUUGCAGAACGGAAGUUUUGGAAAAAUACCUCCCCUACUGGAAGCAUUUUGCCCCCAAGACCUUUUCCCUCAAUUUAAUUAAAUUAUUAAAAUAUUAACUAAAUAAAAGGAGGGGAGCAGCAUACAAAUGGGUGCCUGCUGCUUUCUUUUGAUGUGUACUCAGGUGCACUGAAAGCUGACAUGCAACAUUAUGAACAUGUAAGAUCUUGCAGCUUUCCAUUUGGUGUUUUAUAACUGUGCAUGUCAUAUGAGUGCAAGGAAAUAGAGCAAAUACAAAAGCACUCCUAAGUGUCGCUCAGGCAUCAUGAUGCUCCCAAAGCAUCAGCUGCUAAAAACUGUAGGUUGAGCCUAUAAGAAAAGAUACGUUGGGCUUUACAUGAAGAUGUAGGACAUAAAGUUGGAAAURCUUUUAAGAUAACUUUCCUUACAGAGGCAGUCUUUCAUUCAAUAUUAAUUUGAUGUUUCUCCUCAAAUUACUUGAAUUUAAUGUUUUGUUCAGCAGUGGAAAUUCAUUUGCCUAACCCCUAUCUGAAUAACUCUUGCUUCCUUCCACCCCUGAUUCUCCCCAUGUCAGUGUUGAUGCUGUGGUGAAUAAGAACAGAGGCUGUACAGCAAAUCAGGUGUUUCUUGCCCAACGACUUUCUGUUGGAGGCUUCUCUUAGCUCAACAUGACUUUCGGUAGUAUAGUUGAUGGGAAACUAAUGUUUUUUUUUCUAAAGGAGACUUUAAAUUUUAAGCGAUGAGAUACCAAGCUUUUCAAUUUUAAUGAUGCCAACCAGUGUCCAGAGUGGGAGUCACUUGGGAAGAUGUUUUUCUAGAGGCCCGAGGUAGCACUUGGUAGAAGGGCUACCUGCAGGUUCUGCAGGAGAGCUUUUACCUUUCUCUUGUACAUGAUGAGAGAAGCUGACAACAGAAGAACAAUGGAUACAAAAUAUAACAUUUUGCUAUCUUAAGUGUGGUGUGUGUAUAUAUACAGAUAUUUCUGUUUCUCGUUGUACAGAAGUGCAAAGGGUCAGCAUUAUUUUGAGUGUUGUUAUUAGCAAGGGAAAAGAAAUAAGUCUAACACAAGAACUUGCUCCUUUCUCUACCCCCUUGCUGUUUCUAGUGGAAAGAGUUCCCUAUUUUGUUUCCUUUUGAAUCCUUGGCUAUGAAUUUGUCCCUGAAGCUUUGUGUGUGCAGAGGAGUAAAUCGGAGCCGUUUGUUGCAAUGGCAAAUGAUGAAGAUGCAGUUUUGUGCAUAGGAGUGGUCUCUUCCUGCAUCUCCAAAUUAUUUGUACUUGUAUUUUCUUGUAAGCUAAUAUAACCAUAUUA